rnacentral:lncRNA from 1 species
AAAUUAUGACCUUGGUAAUGAUGAGGAAACAUUUCUUACACAAGAUGAAAAGCACAAUCUAUGCAAGAAAACUGAUAAAUAUGGCUACAUUAAAAUAUAAUUAAAAUCUAUGCAUCAAAAGACACUGGAGACAAAGUAAAAGCACCUAGGGAAAAUAUUUGCAAAACAAGUAUAUUUUUCAUCUCAUGUAUUGUAAUUUUCACCUCUAGAAUUUCAAUAAGGAUAUUUUUAUAUCUUCCAUAUUUAUAAUGUUCAAUCUUUCCUCUAGCUUUUUGAACAUAUGGAAUAUAGUUAUAAUAAUUUUUAAGUGCUUGUCUGAUAAUUGAAACAUUUAUACAUCUGAGUCAGUUUCAAUUGUUAAUUUUUAUUCUUGUUGAGGGCUACUAUAUUUUCCUGAUAAGCUUUGAUAGGAAUGGCAGACAUUGCAAAUUUUACCUUGUUAGGCAUUGAAUACUUUUGUAUUCUUGUUGGAAAUAGUUUGAUUGCUUGGGGCAAUACUUUUAUUGUUUUCAGGUCGGCCAUAACUACAUUUAUUGUAGGGAUAAUUAAAUUCAUUGCUGAGGUAUGUGCCUUCUGACUACCAAAUUUCCUCUGAAUUAUAAUGUUUUACAGUUUGGCUGGUGGGAACAGAGUAGGGGGGCAAGGCGGAGAGUAGGUUUGGAGGAAUGAACAGAAGGUAUCUAAGAGGCAUCCAUUGGAGAUUCUGAGACAGGAAUGGCUGGGAUGGAACCUAGGAGUUUGUACUUUUAACCGUAAACCAAAUGAUGUUUACCAAGCUUGAGAAACACUGUUCAAGGGUAAAUGGCUAGAAGUGAAAUUGCUUGAUCAUAGUGUGUGUGAGUUAUUGAUUUUUA